rnacentral:rRNA from 1 species
UACGGGGGGGGCAAGCGUUGUUCGGAAUUACUGGGCGUAAAGGGUUCGUAGGUGGCCCGCUAAGUCAGACGUGAAAUCCCUCAGCUCAACUGGGGAACUGCGUCUGAUACUGGUGGGCUUGAGUGCAGGAGAGGAACGCGGAAUUCCAGGUGUAGCGGUGAAAUGCGUAGAUAUCAGGAGGAACACCUGUGGUGUAGACGGCUUUCUGGACCAUAGCUGACGCUGAGACACGAAAGCGUGGGUAGCAAACAGG